AUUGAACGCUGGCGGCAUGCCUAACACAUGCAAGUCGAAUGAGUGGCGGACGGGUGAGUACUGUCUUGGAAACUGCAUGAUGGAGGGGGAUAACUACUGUAAACGGUAGCUAAUACCGACUACCAUCGGAUUUGCCCAGAUGGGAUUAGCUAGUAGGUGGGGUAAAGGCUCACGUAGGGGACGAUCACUAUCUGGUAUGACAGGAUGACGAGCCAGACUGGAACGGAGACACGGUCCAGAGGCGUACGUAAGGCAGCAGUGAGACAUCGUGCAUCAUGAGCGCAAGCCUUAUGCAGACAGGCCACGAGUAUGAAGCAAGCCUUCGGGUUGUAAAGUACUGUCAGCGGGGAUGCGUUACCCGCAGAAGAAGCGCCGGCUAACUCCGUGCCAGCAGCCGCGGUAAUUC
rnacentral:rRNA from 1 species